rnacentral:sRNA from 1 species
ACUCAACACUAUUCAAUUAAAAAGAAUGAGUCUAGGUUACUAAAGCACGCCGUAAUUACUACGGAUCCUUGAUCAGCCAGUUAGUUCUAAACCUGUUUUAAAGGAGUUU